rnacentral:rRNA from 1 species
UACGUAGGGUGCGAGCGUUGCCCGGAUUUAUUGGGCGUAAAGGGCGCGUAGGCGGCUCGACACGUUCGUUGUGAAAUCGCCCGGCUCAACUGGGCGGGGUCAGCGAAUACGGUCGAGCUUGAGCAAGCUAGGGGGCAAUGGAAUUCCCGGUGUAGUGGUGGAAUGCGUAGAUAUCGGGAGGAACACCAGUGGCGAAGGCGGUUGCCUGGGGCUUUGCUGACGCUGAUGCGCGAAAGCGUGGGGAGCGAUCCGG